UACGUAGGGUGCGAGCGUUGUUCGGAAUCACUGGGCGUAAAGCGCACGUAGGCGGGUUCUUAAGUCAGGGGUGAAAUCCCGAGGCUCAACCUCGGAACUGCCUUUGAUACUGGGAAUCUUGAGUUCGGGAGAGGUGAGUGGAAUUGCGAGUGUAGAGGUGAAAUUCGUAGAUAUUCGCAAGAACACCAGUGGCGAAGGCGGCUCACUGGCCCGAUACUGACGCUGAGGUGCGAAAGCGUGGGGAGCAAACAGG
rnacentral:rRNA from 1 species